rnacentral:rRNA from 1 species
UACGGAGGAUCCGAGCGUUAUCCGGAUUUAUUGGGUUUAAAGGGUGCGCAGGCGGGAGAUUAAGUCGGCGGUGAAAUUUUGCAGCUCAACUGUAAAAGUGCCUUCGAAACUGGUUUCCUUGAGUGUAGAUGAAGUAGGCGGAAUUUGUGGUGUAGCGGUGAAAUGCAUAGAUAUCACGAGGAACUCCGAUUGCGCAGGCAGCUUACUAAACCACUACUGACGCUCAGGCACGAAAGUGUGGGGAUCAAACAGGAUUAGAUACCCUGGUA